rnacentral:rRNA from 1 species
UACGGAGGGUGCAAGCGUUAUCCGGAUUCACUGGGUUUAAAGGGUGCGUAGGUGGGUUGAUAAGUCAGUGGUGAAAUCCCCGAGCUUAACUUGGGAACUGCCAUUGAUACUAUUGAUCUUGAAUACCGUGGAGGUCAGCGGAAUAUGUCAUGUAGCGGUGAAAUGCUUAGAUAUGACAUAGAACACCAAUUGCGAAGGCAGCUGGCUACACAUAUAUUGACACUGAGGCACGAAAGCGUGGGGAUCAAACAGG